UUGAUAUUUAUGAUUAAGACUGAUGUUGGUUAAAAUUUAACUCAUUGAAGGUAGAAAUAAUAUUAAUGUAGAAUAUCUAUAAACUUGAUUCUGAAAAGCUCAUUUUGUGUGCAGAGCGAUAUGAAUGUGUGUAAUAUUAAAGCGGACCCUAAGGGUUAAUGAGGUACGUAUUUUCUAAAUCAUCAAAGGUCCCCUUAUAUUAGUCCUGUGCUAAUACAGCUUUAUUGACAGCCCACAUACGAAUCUAACUGCUUAUGUGGAAACAGAAGUGGUCUGAAUAGAGGACCCUGAGGAACGCCUGUCAGACUUUACACAAUAAACAAAACUAAAAAGAGAGCUGAUGGAUGCUGCAGGCACAAAGUCCCUUCAACAUCUUUAGUUUACUGUUUCUUUCUCAGAGUGACGCUGGCUGACGGAUCUCAGUGGCUCAUCCAUAAAGGAGGAAACUAUGGCGUCUCCUCUCAGACGGUGGUGACCAACGCUCGACACAUGAGCUCAGACUGGCAGGUUGUUAAAACGGUGGAUUUCCAGGGGACGAAGACAGUAUCUGACUUUGUGGCAGACGGCGGCUCCGACUACAGUCUCAUCUUUGAUAACUGUCACCUGGGAUCUCGUCGGAUGAUAAAACAGUAAAGUUAAAAGAUAUCAUGAAAUGUUGAGGUUGAGUUUAUUUGAUGGACAAAUAAUAAAUGUGACAUUUCGUA